rnacentral:rRNA from 1 species
UACGUAGGGUGCGAGCGUUGUCCGGAUUUAUUGGGCGUAAAGAGCUCGUAGGCGGUGUGUCGCGUCGGCCGUGAAAACCUGCAGCUUAACUGUGGGCUUGCGGUCGAUACGGGCAUCACUGGAGUUCGGCAGGGGAGACUGGAAUUCCUGGUGUAGCGGUGAAAUGCGCAGAUAUCAGGAGGAACACCGGGUGGGCGAAGGC